AUCCCUGUGAUUAAUAUCAAUGAUUGUGAGCCUUGGGAAUUACCUCAGUUCUUGCGAGUAGACUCAAGUGAUCGCGAGUGGUAUUUCUUUCGUCGUCGCCAAGAACCAAACCACAGGACAACCAAGGCUGGAUACUAUAAAGUUACCGGCAAGGGAAUCAAGAUUAAGGAUAGACAGGAAGAGAUUGGUACAAAAACAUUCUUGGUUUACUAUAAAGGUCGCACUCCUAAGGGGGUCAUCACCGGCUGGAAGAUGC
rnacentral:misc_RNA from 1 species